CCUGUUCCCCUUUUAUCAACACACAGACCCAGAAGACCCCUCCGUCCUGCAGCACCUGCCAUGAGCAUCGGCCUCCUGUGCUGUGCGGCCUUUUCUCUCCUGUGGGCAGGUCCAGUGAAUGCUGGUGUCACUCAGACCCCAAAAUUCCAAGUCCUGAAGACAGGACAGAGCAUGACACUGCAGUGUGCCCAGGAUAUGAGCCAUAACUCCAGUUACUGGUAUGGACAAGACCCAGGCAUGGGGCUGAGGCUGAUUCGUUACUCAGCUGCUGCUGGUGUCACUGACAAAGGAGAAGUCCCCAGUGGCUACAAUGUCUCCAGAUUAAACACAGAGGAUUUCCGGCUUAGGCUGGAGUCAGCUGCUCCCUCCCAGACAUCUGUGUACUUCUGUGCCAGCAGUUACUCCCCAACGCUGCAAGGCCGUCUCCUCUCUGCACAUAAAAGUAGGGCGGCUCUGCCCUCCUCCCCCACCCAAAACUCAGGGAUGCCCUGGGCGGAAUUUUCUGCACCAGGAACCUUGGAACCCCAAGUGGCCCGGACAGCAUGA